rnacentral:rRNA from 1 species
GAUGAACGCUGGCGGCGUGCCUAAUACAUGCAAGUCGAGCGAACAGACGAGGAGCUUGCUCCUCUGACGUUAGCGGCGGACGGGUGAGUAACACGUGGAUAACCUACCUAUAAGACUGGGAUAACUUCGGGAAACCGGAGCUAAUACCGGAUAAUAUAUUGAACCGCAUGGUUCAAUAGUGAAAGACGGUUUUGCUGUCACUUAUAGAUGGAUCCGCGCCGCAUUAGCUAGUUGGUAAGGUAACGGCUUACCAAGGCGACGAUGCGUAGCCGACCUGAGAGGGUGAUCGGCCACACUGGGACUGAGACACGGUCCAGACUCCUACGGGAGGCAGCGGUAGGGAAUCUUCCGCAAUGGGCGAAAGCCUGACGGAGCAACGCCGCGUGAGUGAUGAAGGUCUUCGGAUCGUAAAACUCUGUUUUUAGGGAAGAACAAAUGUGUAAGUAACUAUGCACGUCUUGACGGUACCUAAUCAGAAAGCCACGGCUAACUACGUG